rnacentral:rRNA from 1 species
CUUCAUGAUUCAGACCUUGGUGAGUGGCGGACGGGUGAGUAACACGUGGGUAACCUGCCCAGAAGUGGGGGAUAACAUUUGGAAACAAGUGCUAAUACCGCAUAACAACUUAGAUCACAUGAUCUUUGUUUAAAAGAUGGUUUUGCUAUCUCUUCUGGAUGGACCCGCGGCGUAUUAGCUAGUUGGUGAGGUAAUAGCUCACCAAGGCGAUGAUACGUAGCCGACCUGAGAGGGUAAUCGGCCACAUUGGGACUGAGACACGGCCCAAACUCC